ensembl:lncRNA
UUAUUUAAAUUGUGAAAAUUACUACAAAAUCUCAGUUUUGUGUCAUCUGAUAAAGUGUAUCAACUUCAUUAAUAGGUACUGGAUCAAAUGUUUGCUUGUCCAAAUAUGUCAAAAAAGCCAACAGUUUCUGUGGGGUGUACUUAUUUUUUCAAACGACUGUAUGUGUACACAAACACACCUAUCGUAAAUGUUGGAAGGUGUAUUGGUGCUUUGUUCUCUCCUGUCCCGUGUCUCUCUCUCUGCUUGUCUUGCUUUGCUCUGGAGUUCAUCAUUUUCCUUCUUCACUUUACUCAGCUCUGUACAUAGAGCUUGGUUUUGACUUUGCAAUUUAGCCAAUGUCUUACUCCAGUGCAGGUCGUCUGCAGGAGUUACUGGAGCUUCCUGCUGUCCGGCAGGACUGACGUUCCUCUUUAAAAGAAUUUGCUGAUCUGGCUGAGAUCCUGAUUUCUGAAGCCCCUGCUGACCCCGAUACCUCCCCGUCUGAUAACGGAUUCAUUUGAACAACCGCUUCUCGUAGGCCGAGGAUCCUCCUGAGGCGUUUGGCUUCCCGCUCCAGUUGGUCCAGUCUGCUAGUGAGCACAGAUCGGUCUGGACUUUCCAGCCGGAGCAAAGGGCGGGACUGCCUGCUGGUACGGCUAAGAGGAGGAACCACCACGGUCUGAGCGGGUGGCAGAGGGUGAGACCACGCCAUGGAGGGAUGAGGUGCGAUGGGGUGAGGCCAGCCUGGGGGGCUAAUGGUAAGUUUUGGCUGGUCUUUAGUCUGUGGGCCUUGUGCCACUUGCUGCUCUGAAGGACUCGGGUUAGCAGCGCUCUCUGUGUCAGGAGACACUGCAGGACUUUUACCCUCUUCCGUAGCGUUGCUCAUGGUCUGGUCCUUAUUGCUGUUUGUCUCCAACACUUCCAGAGUUUUUUCCAUCACCUGUUCCUCUGACUCUGUUGCAGUAGUUGAUAUCUCUUUUUCAGAGUCAGUGCGUUUUGGUGAGUGGGAAUGCCCCUCCACUUCAUACAGUCCUCACACUGAAUCCAUGACACAUCCCUGAGAAAGAGAAAGUGUGCACAAGUGUGCUGCUUUUCAGUCUAAACAGUGUUUGUGGUUAUCUGCCUUUCUGCAGAAUUCAACUUCAGCCCUAGAGCUGUGAUCAAGAUUUAUGGUUUCCUCAGGUUUAUGGUUUUUUUGUGAUUGUUGCAGCCAAACUGCUUUUUUGUGCUUUUUUUGCGGAGAAGUACUUGAAUUAAACAAAAAUGUUUUGCACAGUAUUUCGCAGUGAUGUUUGUUGGUAAGUGUUCGACGCAUGUGAAUCAAAAAGGGCUUUGGAUGAAUGUGCGUUGUAAUGACGUCACAUGAGUCAUCUUGGCAAAAAUCUGCAGCAAUUUUGAAAAAUUGCAUGCGCCUCCAAAUUAGAGCUGCAACAACUAAUCGAUAAUAAUCGAUUAUGAAAUUGUUGUCAACGAAUCUCAUUAUCGAUUAGUUGGUCUGCAUGCAGCACGGGGUACGUUUACUCACUUCUUUACUUCUGUUCCGAAAACAUGCUUCAGGGAGUAAAUACUAAAGUUGUGUCCCAAAUAAUGUACUAUACACUUACACCAUGCACUGCGUACUCUACCGUCUAGUGUAUGAAUUUUAGAAAGGUAAUAUCGUCUCAAAAGGAACACGAGUGUUUUUUUUACUAACUGGAAAUAUAAGCUGUUUCCCGGUCAGUAGCGCAUGACGUCAUACGCACGUAACGUGACACCACUAGCUUUAGCAGAUACCCUAGUCAGAUAACUGAAGUCAGAUAACUGACUUUCUUCAGUUUACUAUUUGUCCGCAUUACCUUUUAUUCCCAACCUGACCUCAGUCACCAUCAGACGGAGGCGUAGCUGUCAAGUGACUGAGGAAGAAAGUGUGCGAGCUCUAAGGCAUUGGAGCGUUUUAUACUAAACACUGCAGACAAGAUCAAGCUUUACAAAGCGGAGUUUGUGUCGCACGGACACACGACAGUGAUGCACGAGCACAAUCUUAUGUUUAUAUCCAAAAUG